CUAUAGUUAGCGAAUGGAAUACUGACCGCUGAUUGGGCGAGGCAUCUAUCAAUCAAGAUAUACAGGAAGUACAGCAGGCUACGGCAGUGGGAAGUUGAUUAGUUUGUGGAUUAAAAUAUGGCGUUCUGCUAAAUUUCUGCAGUUCAUCUGGAAAAAAUCUGGAGGUUUUAAAAGAGACGAUAUAAAACGACUGCGCCCGUGUCCACCAGUGGUGUGCAGAGCGAGGCUUCGUGGUACACUGAAACAGGACAAGCAAAUGUGCCAUAUUGUCUCGAGGCUUCGAAACAAUCCGACACCCGUCUCCACGGUGACACCUAGUGGUCACUUGCAGGAAGUGUGUGGGGGAGUCGAUGGUGUUUUCAAAUGGUAUGCUGCUGCCUUGGGUUUGAAUCCUGGGUGAAGUGUGCCUGUCCACAUCAUUGUAAUUCGGUGGGAUUUCAUGUCAGAUUAUUAACAAGGCAUCCUGAGGCAAGCACUGAGCAGGGAUCAGUCCAAACACUAUUGAAUAAUUUCAGUUUUAUAAACUUACAUUAUAAAACUGACCGGAGAACAGUUCAAAUUAUUUAUUAAACACUGGUUCAUUGGUUCACCUGGAGAUCAACACAAAGAAGAAGAAGCUGAAAAUGAAGCAAGCAAAUAGCAAGUUGAAGCUGCUGGUGUCUUUGAUGUCUGAACGGCGAGAGCUUAAAAACGCCUACAAGAAUGUUGAUAAGAGGGAGUUGUUGUGGCAAGGAAUUUCCAAAGAAAUAGGAUUCGAUG
ensembl:lncRNA